rnacentral:rRNA from 1 species
AUAUCAAUAAGCGGAGGAAAAGAAACCAACAGGGAUUCCCUUAGUAACGGCGAGUGAAGCGGGAAAAGCUCAAUUUUGAAAUCUCACAGGUUUCCUGUGCGAAUUGUAGUUUAAAGAAACGUUUUCGGGGAUGGUCUAAUCUCAAGUUCGUUGGAAGGCGACGCCAUAGAGGGUGAUAGCCCCGUGGAGAUUGGUAUCCAUUCCUAUGUGAUACGUUUUCAAAGAGUCGGAUAGUUUGAGAAUGCUGUCCAAAUUGGGUGGUAAAUACCAUCUAAAGCUAAAUAUUGGCGAGAGACCGAUAGCGCACAAGUA